GACGAACGCUGGCGGCGUGCUUAACACAUGCAAGUCGAACGGUAAGGCUCCAGCUUGCUGGGGUACACGAGUGGCGAACGGGUGAGUAACACGUGGGUGACCUGCCCUGCACUUCGGGAUAAGCCUGGGAAACUGGGUCUAAUACCGGAUAGGACCAUGGUGUGGAUACUGUGGUGGAAAGUUUUUUCGGUGUGGGAUGGGCCCGCGGCCUAUCAGCUUGUUGGUGGGGUAAUGGCCUACCAAGGCGGGGACGGGUAGCCGGCCUGAGAGGGUGGACGGCCACAUUGGGACUGAGACACGGCCCAGACUCCUACGGGAGGCAGCAGUGGGGAAUAUUGCACAAUGGGCGGAAGCCUGAUGCAGCGACGCCGCGUGGGGGAUGACGGCCUUCGGGUUGUAAACUCCUUUCACCAUCGACGAAGGGUUUCUGACGGUAGAUGGAGAAGAAGCACCGGCUAACUACGUG
rnacentral:rRNA from 1 species